rnacentral:lncRNA from 1 species
UCAUGUUUUAUUUAAGUAUAUAUAUUUAACAUAAGUUCAGCAAAUGAUGGAAAUAUUAUGGCCAUUCUGACGGUCAGUCAUACAUUCUCCUUUUUGAGCAGAUUAUAGCAUAUAUGUUUUGCUAAAGCUUAAUCAUUAUUUUGUGCAUUUAGAUCAUUUGAUUUUAUGACUUUUCCUUAUUGUUUUUGUUUGGUAGUGAUGGUAACGGUUUAUUGAAGGGUAAAUAACAAGGCAGAAAACUUUCUAUGCUUUUCAGACAAAUGUAAUAAUAUUUAUUCAGACCAAACAUGCUAAAUUCUAUAUGUUUGUCAGAAUUUAUAAGGAAAGCAAGUAUUAGCAGUAUUUUACUUUUCAUUUCGAAAAUACAAAGAUAAACAUAGCUUCAAUACUACAAUACAAAUAAAAUCUUGAGAAUUUACAUUUGUUGAUAUAUACUGAUAUUCCAGAGUGGGGAAUUUUGUCUGCAUAAGAUAUGAGUACUUAUUUCAUGGUAGCAAAGUUACUUUUAAUGUCUUCAGAACUUAAAUUAGAAACCAAAAUUAGUCAUUUAAUCUCCUCUUCAAUGAUUUUUGUAAAGCCUACAUGGUAGAUAGUUGUAUGGUAAGAACUUUGUCUUUGUUGUCAGCUUGUAAAUCAGGGUUUUUCAUGGCUUACUUCCCUUAAAUCUUUCUUGUUGUCAGUCUGUAGAUCAUGGUUUUUCAUGGCUAACUUUUCUUUGAUCUUAAAUGUUAACCUUUAGAUCAUGGUUUUAAAUUGCUUACUGUAGAAUUUGGACACCUAUCUGUCUUUAUUGCAGUGAUUUUUCAUGCAUGCUUAGUGUGUAGACAGAAUAUAAUUUUGAUUUAAGCUCUUGGAUGUGCAAGGUCCAAUUAGUAGAAAAAUAACAAAACCAAUAUGUUUAAUAAUGUAAAUAGCUUAUAAUGGGUUGUUGUUGUUUACUUUGAAUUUCUAACAACAGUGAAUUGGCUACAUCAGAAAUAUUUGUGUGUAAGUUAACAUUGAUUGAUGUUUGCUAUAGGCAGGGUAACAUCUUUUGAUGUUUGCUAUAGGCAGGGUAACAUUACUUGAUUUUUGCUUUAGGCAGGAUAAGAUGGCACUACUCAUAUUUAAAUGGUCUUCAAUAAUGAUGUGGCAAUAAUUGAAUUUUAUUGAAUAAUCUGACAAAGUUGUUUAGAAAGCAAAACUUGUCUCCUUAACUUGACUUCAAUCUUUGUGAAAUAACUUAACCAUUUUGUAAAAACUUAUUCAUGUUGUAAGUUCCAAUGAUUUUUGGUCGUCAUUCCCUAUCUAUAGUGUGUCUGUACAUUGUAAUAAAUGUAACAUACUAAGUAUGUAUUACAUAUAGAUGGGCCAUUGUCAAUAUAGAGAAUGGUCAUUUAUUAGAUCUGAGUUCUAUAGUCUCAGAUAAUUGUACUUCUUAUGUUGAAGUCAAUAAUUGGUUUUGAUUUUAGACAAAAGUCUUAAGCCAAUGUUAUAAUUUACCUGCUGAGGAACUUGUUCUCAACAGUGAUUAUAUCGUAUGUGGUUAUAUUUACUCCUAUUUAUGGAAAACCACCACAGUAAUUCCUACCUCAUUUUGUGUUGUUUGUUUGUAGGAUUGAGCAUAAUACACAUAUUUUUGUGAGUAUAAAGGAUUUAUGAUUCCUAUUUAAUAAGACUAGUAGUCAGAUUAAAUUUUUGAUCCACAGAAAAAUGGAUAUAGAGAUUAUAAGAGGCGCUAUUGCUAAACCAAAUUGAAUAAACUUAAAUGAUUUUUGAAGAAUUGGGUUUUAUGCAUAUAUUUGUAAUGAUAAUUUUCUGUCUACUUUUGAAUACUAUGCUACCUAAAAUAGUUUUAGCAUGGAGUCAUAAGUAUUUUUGAAUUCAUAAAAAAGCAAAGGUUUUUUGUUAUGAACAAUAAAUAUUUUUGGAUAAUAGUUUUGUAAACCUUUAUCCUGUGUGUUAUUAUGUUGUAAAACAUUUACUUAUUGUUACAGUUUUAUGAAACAUUUUAUACAAUAAUGUGCAAUGAUAAACUAGUGAAACCAUUUGUUUAAUUGGUUGUUGAUUAAUCAAAACCUAGAUAAGGAGGUUAUAACCUCUGUCCAAAGAUUGACAUAUUUUAGUCAGAAUAUUUGUUUAAUCUUUUUGUAACAUGUAAAUGCAUUUAAUGCACUUGUUAUAUUUUAACAUUUAUUGUUAAAUGAAAUGUUUGGUUAUUAUAAAUAACCUGUACACAUUAUGUACAAUUGACGUUUAAGUCAACUUAUAUGUCCAUGAGGGCAUGAAUUGUUAAAGUAUUACUGAUGGUUAAUUGGACAGGUUAACCUAUCAGAACACUAUUUGUAACCAUUUAAUGUAUGCACAAAUUAAGUUGUUACAUUAUUGAAGUUAAAUUUCUUCACUUGUUACAUUAGAUUAUUACAGUGUCUUUCACACCAUUUCUGAUGAUAAUAAACAUACUGACCAUACAUGUCUUGUUGUAGUCUUUCACGCCA